rnacentral:lncRNA from 1 species
ACGGAUCACAGGAGGAGCCUGCAGCGGAGGAGCCUCCUCCUCCUCAGCAUCAGACCUAAAGGGAGUGUCCUGCCUGAAGGACCGGCUCAAGGUCGCACUAACAGCUCUUGCUAACUCCUGUUCCAGGCUGUUUAUCUGGGCCUCCAAGUACCCUGCUUGCGCCUGGAGGUCUCUCACCCCCAGGUCCUGCUCAAAGCUGUGCACUUGGGCCCCCAGGCAUGCGGCUUGCUCCGGAAGGUCCCUUACCUGUGGCACUGAGCAUGUACUUCCUGCAGUGCAGUUAGAAAUGCCCAUCCGACUCUGCUUGCAAAGUGCAGAGAGGGAGACACCCUUACAAAUGGAGAUUUGCUGGAUAGAAAUGUGGCCAAAGAGUUCAAUAAAAGGUUCCUUUAUUUAUAGGCACAGCUGCUUAAAGACUGUUACCGGAAAGGAAUCCUGAUCCAGACGCCAAGAGAGGGUUCUUGGACUCAUGCAAGAAAGACUUCA